rnacentral:rRNA from 1 species
GAUGAACGCUGACAGAAUGCUUAACACAUGCAAGUCAACUUGAAUUUGGGUUUUUAACUUAGGUUUGGGUGGCGGACGGGUGAGUAACGCGUAAAGAACUUGCCUCACAGCUAGGGACAACAUUUGGAAACGAAUGCUAAUACCUAAUAUUAUGAUAAUAGGGCAUCCUAUAAUUAUGAAAGCUAUAAGCGCUGUGAGAGAGCUUUGCGUCCCAUUAGCUAGUUGGAGAGGUAACGGCUCACCAAGGCGAUGAUGGGUAGCCGGUCUGAGAGGGUGAUCGGCCACAAGGGGACUGAGACACGGCCCUUACUCCUACGGGAGGCAGCAGUGGGGAAUAUUGGACAAUGGACCGAGAGUCUGAUCCAGCAAUUCUGUGUGCACGAUGAAGUUUUUCGGAAUGUAAAGUGCUUUCAGUUGGGAAGAAACAAAUGACGGUACCAACAGAAGAAGUGACGGCUAAAUACGU